rnacentral:rRNA from 1 species
CUAAUAAAUGAAGCUUCUGCACCACUAAUUAAUUUUAAUCCAACAUCGAGGUCGCAAUCUUUUCUUUCAAUAAGGACUUUAAAAAAAAUUACGCYGUUAUCCCUAAGGUAAUUAAAUCUUAUAAUCUAAAGUAUAGGAUCAUAUAUUCAUAUAUUAAUGUUUCAAUAAAUAAAAAAGUUUACCUAAUUUUCCUGUCACCCCAMCAAAAUACUUAAAUAAGUAAUAAACUUUUUAAAAUCCUUCAGCUUAAUACAAACCAAAUAUUAAACUCUAUAGGGUCUUCUCGUCUUCUAGCACAUUUAAGCUUUUUAACUUAAAAAUAAAAUUCUAAUAAAUUUUUUUAGAGANAGAAAUUUUUUCAUCAAACCUUUCAUACAAGCUCUCAAUUAAAAAACUAAUGAUUAUGCUACCUUUGCACGGUCAAAAUACCGCGGCCAUUCAACCUAUUCAUUGGGCAGGCCUAACU